rnacentral:rRNA from 1 species
CACGUAGGCGGAUUUGUAAGUCAGGGGUGAAAUCCCGGGGCUCAACCUCGGAACUGCCUUUGAUACUGCAAAUCUCGAGUCCGGAAGAGGUGAGUGGAAUUCCUAGUGUAGAGGUGAAAUUCGUAGAUAUUAGGAAGAACACCAGUGGCGAAGGCGGCUCACUGGUCCGGUACUGACGCUGAGGCGCGAAAGCGUGGGGAGCAAACA